rnacentral:tRNA from 1 species
UAUAUUUUGGUGUAUGGGGCAUAAAAGAUUUUGAUUCUUUUGGAGAUAGUUUAAUUCUAUUAAAUAUAA